rnacentral:rRNA from 1 species
GAUGAACGCUGGCGGCGUGCUUAACACAUGCAAGUCGAACGGUGAAGCAGAGCUUGCUCUGUGGAUCAGUGGCGAACGGGUGAGUAACACGUGAGCAACCUGCCCCUGACUCUGGGAUAAGCGCUGGAAACGGCGUCUAAUACUGGAUAUCAGCUGCGACCGCAUGGUCAGCAGUUGGAAAGAUUUUUCGGUCUGGGAUGGGCUCACGGCCUAUCAGCUUGUUGGUGAGGUAAUGGCUCACCAAGGCGUCGACGGGUAGCCGGCCUGAGAGGGUGACCGGCCACACUGGGACUGAGACACGGCCCAGACUCCUACGGGAGGCAGCAGUGGGGAAUAUUGCACAAUGGGCGAAAGCCUGAUGCAGCAACGCCGCGUGAGGGAUGACGGCCUUCGGGUUGUAAACCUCUUUUAGCAGGGAAGAAGCGAAAGUGACGGUACCUGCAGAAAAAGCGCCGGCUAACUACGUG